GAGUACUAUGCCAAAUGACUGAGCAACUUGUGAUAUAAAUACGAGUCGAAAUCACGGUACGUUUAAUGUUCGUUCGUCAAACCAAACAUACCGUGCUACAAACAAAAUUUUCAUCUCCUAUCAAACUUAUCGAAUCCACCGGUCCUUAAGCGGAAUUUAUUUUGAAUUUAAUUCAUAAAAGAGUUUAAACAUGCAGUUAUUAAAAUUAUUUUCUGUUUUCUUAUUAUUUUGUUUAUCUUUGAUUUCUGUGACAACCGCAUGUGUGGGACACGACGGAGUAUGUUCCGGUGCUAACGGUAGCCAAGGAAAUUGUUGUUCCGGAAUGCAUUGUCAAAAGAAUGAUCCAAGCUGGGCCAAAGGUAGAUGCUACUACAAUCCAGGAAAAUAAAAAUGAAGAAAAUACAACGUAAAAUCAAUCGUUUCUAUAUCAAAUGUUUACCACAAUAUCCAAAAUUAACAUAAAAAUGUUCUAUCUUAUGUGUAAAAAAAAAUUAUAAUGAAUUUUUAAUCGUGUCAUAUUAUAUAAUAUAAAAAAAAAUUGUUUAAAAAUAAAUACUACUUAUAACUUAUUAUAGCUUACAAACUGUGGUUUUAAGGGUUUUGUGCCCAUAACACGCGUUUUUCCAUUAUAUAAACAAGAUAUAUAUAAGUUGUACGUAUGUUAUGAUACUAUUUUCAACAUUAUAUUAAUAUAACAAUAUUAUAAAUAUCACCAAUAAAAACAAAAUAUGUCCGUAAAAAUA
rnacentral:lncRNA from 1 species